GUCUUAACUUUUACUUUUCAUUUACAAUGUGAGGGGAAAGAACAAAAUUUGAGCACACCACAAACACCGUCACCUCUUUGAGAUUAUGGUGGUGAUUGACUGCGAAAAGCAUACAGAUGACUUGGUCAUGUCUUUGUGUGCAAUAAUAUGGUAGGACCACAACUUUAAAUCUUGACCACACGGACUCUACAGUAAUCACUUUCAACUCCAGCUAAACAACAAAUGCUGGCUUUAUCUGCGGUUCCAGCUUCUUCUGUUCGGAAAUAAAAGUAAAAAAAAAAAACGAAGAAGCUGCUUUGUUUCUAAAAUGAAAGAGCAUAUGAAUUUUCACAUUUAACUUGCUUCCAAGUGACGACUCUCCUUUGAUUUUACAGUAACAUGAUGCUAUAGUAAAUGCUCUAGUAUUCAACCGCAAAGAUUUUCCUCAAUAUUGUACAUUUGCUAUAAAUAAUUAACAAUCUAAGUUAAUGUUA